AGUGAACGCUGGCGGUAGGCCUAACACAUGCAAGUCGAACGGCAGCACAGUAAGAGCUUGCUCUUACGGGUGGCGAGUGGCGGACGGGUUAGGAAUACAUCGGAAUCUACUUUUUCGUGGGGGAUAACGUAGGGAAACUUACGCUAAUACCGCAUACGACCUACGGGUGAAAGCAGGGGAUCUUCGGACCUUGCGCGAUUGAAUGUGCCGAUGUCGGUUUAGCUAGUUGGCGGGGUAAAGGCCCACCAAGGCGACGAUCCGUAGCCGGUCUGAGAGGAUGAUCAGCCACACUGGAACUGAGACACGGUCCAGAGUCCUGCGGGAGGCAGCAGUGGGGAAUAUUGGACAAUGGGCGCAAGCGUGAUCCAGCCAUCCCGCGUGGGUGAAGAAGGCCUUCGGGUUGUACAGCCCUUUUGUUGGGAAAGAAAAGCAGCAGGUUAAUACCCCGCUGUUCUGACGGUACCCAAAGAAUAAGCUCCGGCUAACUUCGUG
rnacentral:rRNA from 1 species